rnacentral:rRNA from 1 species
GGGACAACGGUUGGAAACGACCGCUAAUUCCCAAUAAGCCGAGAGGUAAAACAGAAUCUGCCCGAAGAGGGGCUCGCGUCUGAUUAGCUAGUUGGUGGGGUAAGAGCUUACCAAGGCAGCGAUCAGUAGCUGGUCUGAGAGGAUGAGCAGCCACACUGGGACUGAGACACGGCCCAGACUCCUACGGGAGGCAGCAGUGGGGAAUUUUCCGCAAUGGGCGAAAGCCUGACGGAGCAAGACCGCGUGAGGGAGGAAGGCCUUUGGGUUGUAAACCUCUUUUCUCAGGGAAGAAGCAAGUGACGGUACCUGAGGAAUCAGCCUCGGCUAACUCCGUGCCAGCAGCCGCGGUAAUACGGAGGAGGCAAGCGUUAUCCGGAAUUAUUGGGCGUAAAGCGUCCGCAGGUGGUGAUUCAAGUCCGCUGUCAAAGACCGGGGCUCAACCCUGGGCCGGCAGUAGAAACUGAAGCACUAGAGUUCGGUAGGGGUAGAGGGAAUUCCCAGUGUAGCGGUGAAAUGCGUAGAGAUUGGGAAGAACACCAGUGGCGAAAGCGCUCUACUGGGCCGAGACUGACACUCAGGGACGAAAGCUAGGGGAGCGAAAGGGAUUAGAUACCCCUGUAGUCCUAGCCGUAAACGAUGA